rnacentral:rRNA from 1 species
UACGAAGGGGGCUAGCGUUGCUCGGAAUCACUGGGCGUAAAGCGCACGUAGGCGGAUUGUUAAGUCAGGGGUGAAAUCCUGGAGCUCAACUCCAGAACUGCCUUUGAUACUGGCGAUCUUCGAGUCCGGGAGAGGUGAGUGGAACUGCGAGUGUAGAGGUGAAAUUCGUAGAUAUUCGCAAGAACACCAGUGGCGAAGGCGGCUCACUGGCCCGGUAUGACGCUGACGGUGCGAAAGCGUGGGGAGCAACAGGG